rnacentral:rRNA from 1 species
UACGGAGGGGGCUAGCGUUGUUCGGAAUUACUGGGCGUAAAGCGCACGUAGGCGGCUUUGUAAGUUAGAGGUGAAAGCCCGGAGCUCAACUCCGGAAUUGCCUUUAAGACUGCAUCGCUCGAAUCAUGGAGAGGUGAGUGGAAUUCCGAGUGUAGAGGUGAAAUUCGUAGAUAUUCGGAAGAACACCAGUGGCGAAGGCGACUCACUGGACAUGUAUUGACGCUGAGGCACGAAAGCGUGGGGAGCAAACAGG